UUCCAUCCCUCACGCCGAGGUCCCUCCCUCACCUGGGGUCCUGCCGCCCCCGCCCCGGCCAGCCCCAGCAGGACCUGUCCCUCACGGCCCGGGGUCUGUAUCUGCACCUGCCGCAGCACUGAUGUCAUGAGAAGGGAGCACAUAACCAGAGCUGUGCGAAGCAUUCGCAAUAAAACCCCAAACCAUGGAAAACUUGUCUCAUCUGUAACUCUGCUAGCAGAAAACUAGGACCAGGUUUGUCAAAAAUACUCACAAAUUGUGAAAGGAGAAAUGCACUCACGCCAUUAAAUAGGAAUAUGUAUUUCGAACAUCCCAAGGACUGGCAGCAUUUGGAUUUAAGGAUUGCCUUCAGUCCUUUAGGAAGACAAAUUCCUGUUAUGCUUUGCAUCAUACAGAAAGCAUCAUUUUCUUUCUGUCUCGAAUUAUUUCCCAAUUUGCUGUGAACAAGAAAGAACAAACCCAAUGGCUGUAUGAAAAAAUAACCCUCUGGGGUUAUACCUACUUCUGUGUCCCAAAAAACACAUCCCUGAACAUGGCUUUUAAGGUACCACAUAAAGCAAAAUCUUUAUUUUGUAACAGUGGAAACUGAUUCUUAUUUUGGUUGCCUCACACUUUCCACUAUAAAAUAGCCUUGCAGCUUGGAAGCUCUGACACUAUUAUUCACAGCAGGCCUUUGAAAUUUGCAGAAAGUCCUGUAGCAAGAGGAACAACUUUUUUUCUUCUUCUCCAAUGAAAUGGUUUUCAUAGUUUGCCAAAGAUUCAUCUAUUGAAAAAAAAAAAAAAAAUCCUUGUUUUCCUUCUGACAUGCUCUGCAGUAAGGUUUUGACAUGAUGCCAGACUGAGAGCGAAGCAGAGGCACUCGGAGGUCAGGCCAGGCUCUGUGGGAGUGGAACACCAGGGAUUAUCAGGGUGGGGGGCUGCGGGCAGGGCAGGCCCGGGGUACCCCAGAGGGAGCAGCCCUGGCCCUGCCACAGCAGGCGCCACUCUCACGAGGCCCACUGGAGUCUCCUUCCUAUGCACAGAUAUUUCAGUUGUAUUCUCACUUCCUAAUUCUGAGCGUUUCUGCCUUCACCUUGAUCAUCUUUUUGUGCUUGUUUUGGGGCUGGAAAUUAGCACUUUUUAAAAGCAGUUUGGUAGCAUGGAAGAAUCCAACAGAUGUGGUCUUAAUAGUGUAAACCCUUGCCACCACACUCCUGUGCUGUCACACCGAGUGUGGGCAAAGUGUGGGCCAGCUGACCUUUAGAGAUCCCUUCCAACCCAAACAGUCCAGGAGUCUUUCCCUGUGCAUUUAUCCUGGCCUGUUGUAAAGUACUAGCUGAGGUGGAGUAAAGAAUUAAGUUGUUUAGUUCCUUUUUCUAGCUCAUCUCAGUUAAAAUGAAUAAAAUUCGUAUACUAGCUUAAAAGAUUGGGAAGGAAAUACUUUUCACCCGUUGUGCUUCUCUCUGAAUCUGUUCCAUUUUGUAAUUUGCAGCUAAAAAUAGUUUCUGUCCAGUGGCUGCUAAUGAGGAAAGAGCUGACUGUUUCAUCCUCGUUUAUAAUAAACAAGACUCCUCUUCAAAAACCCAAGUUUCCAUCUGAAGGAGAACAUCAAAAUGAUUGUUUUUAAAGCUGAUGCUGCUCUCUAAUUACAGAGCAACUGCUGGUCCCAAAACAGAUGCUCCUCCUGGGAUCCCAUGGACCACUCGCAGCAGGCUGCAUCCACCAGAGCUCUUUCUCACGACACCUCUCUCCUGGCCAGCAACUUCUGCACGUACCCCACAUACUCUGGGCUGUCUUGUCACAGACAUUUGACAAUAUUUUGUUUCCUCUGGAACUCCGUAAAGCUUUUUAUGCAUUUAUACAUUUAAAGCUUUUAUUCCAACUCCUCCUAAAAGUCCCAUCCCUCCUUUUCUUUUUUUUUUUUCUGUUUAAACUUGACUAAUUGUGAAAAAGGAGGGAAUGGUUGCUGUUUGUUUUGGGUAGGUGGCUUUGGCUCUCCCUGUGAGAAGUGUGUGUAUUGUAGAGUGAGAUCUCUCCAGUUCACUGACUGCAUUUUCUUAGCCAACCUUUUGUCCUGUCUUUGUAUUUUAUGUGUGCAGACACUCUGGUGUAUAUGAGAGCUGCAAAUUCACUGCUCUAAAACUAAAAAUAACCCUUUUGUCUCAAAUUCUUGCAUGCAGGCAGAACCUAUGCUGCUUUUGGCAAGGGCAGGGUUAAAAUGCCAUCCCAGGACAGGAAUGCUACAACAGGAAUUAGCAGGCAUCUCUGGAUCAGACCAUCACUAUUUAACCAGGCAACGUGUUCAGACCCAGAAUAAGCUGCUCCUUCAGUGUGAGAGGCCACACUCCAGACACAGGCAGCCUGAUCAACAGUCUUCCUGAGCUGCUGUGAAGAUUUUUAAGAUACUCACACUUUAAUAACUUAAAAAUAAACUUCUGUGUGUACAAUAAAA